GCGUACCUUUUGUAUAAUGGGUCAGCGACUUAUUUUCAGUGGCGAGCUUAACCGAAUAGGGGAGGCGUAGCGAAAGCGAGUCUUAAUAGGGCGUCGAGUUCGUGGGAUCAGACCCGAAACCGAGUGAUCUAGGCAUGACCAGGAUGAAGGUGAGGUAACACUCACUGGAGGUCCGAACCCACACCUGUUGAAAAAGGUCGGGAUGAGUUGUGCCUAGGGGUGAAAGGCCAAUCAAACUCGGAGAUAGCUGGUUCUCCGCGAAAUCUAUUUAGGUAGAGCGUCGCGAUUAUACCCUCGGGGGUAGAGCACUGGAUGGGCUAGGGGGACUCACCGUCUUACCAAACCUAACCAAACUCCGAAUACCGAGGAGUACUGCGCGGCAGACACACUGCGGGUGCUAAGGUCCGUAGUGAAAAGGGAAACAGCCCUGACCGCCAGUUAAGGUCCCUAAGUAAUGGCUAAGUGGGAAAGGAUGUGGGAGUGCAGUGACAAUCAGGAGGUUGGCUUAGAAGCAGCCACCCUUUAAAGAAAGCGUAACAGCUCACUGAUCAAGCGCUCCUGCGCCGAAGAUGUACCGGGGCUUAAGCCAUUCACCGAAACUGCGGGUGUACAUUUCUUUCGGGAUUUGUACGCGGUAGCGGAGCGUUCCGUAAGUCUGUGAAGGGUGACCCGCGAGGGCACCUGGAGAUAUCGGAAGUGAGAAUGCUGACAUGAGUAGCGACAAAGAGGGUGAGAGACCCUCUCGCCGAAAGUCCAAGGGUUCCUGCGUAAAGCUAAUCUGCGCAGGGUUAGCCGGCCCCUAAGGCGAGGCAGAAAUGCGUAGUCGAUGGGAACCAGGUUAAUAUUCCUGGGCCGUGUGGUGGUGACGGAUCGUGAAGGUAGUUCAUCCUUAUCGGAUUGAAUGGGCUGCUGAUCGGUUCCUGGAAAUAGCCCCACUUUAAGACCGUACCCUAAACCGACACAGGUGGACUGGUAGAGAAUACCAAGGCGCUUGAGAGAACGAUGUUGAAGGAACUCGGCAAAAUACCUCCGUAAGUUCGCGAGAAGGAGGCCCAGUUUCUACGCAAGUAUUGGCUGGGGGCACAAACCAGGGGGUGGCGACUGUUUACUAAAAACACAGGGCUCUGCGAAG
rnacentral:rRNA from 11 species